rnacentral:rRNA from 1 species
GCCAGACUCCUACGGGAGGCAGCAGUGGGGAAUAUUGCACAAUGGGGGAAACCCUGAUGCAGCGACGCCGCGUGAGUGAGGAAGUAUUUCGGUAUGUAAAGCUCUAUCAGCAGGGAAGAAAAUGACGGUACCUGACUAAGAAGCCCCGGCUAACUACGUGCCAGCAGCCGCGGUAAUACGUAGGGGGCAAGCGUUAUCCGGAUUUACUGGGUGUAAAGGGAGCGUAGACGGUGAUGCAAGUCAGAAGUGAAAGCCCGGGGCUCAACUCCGGGACUGCUUUUGAAACUGUGUGACUGGAGUGCAGGAGAGGUAAGCGGAAUUCCUGGUGUAGCGGUGAAAUGCGUAGAUAUCAGGAGGAACACCAGUGGCGAAGGCGGCUUACUGGACUGUAACUGACGUUGAGGCUCGAAAGCGUGGGGAGCAAACAGGAUUAGAUACCCCCGUACA